AUUGAACGCUGGCGGCAUGCCUUACACAUGCAAGUCGAACGGUAACGCGGGGCAACCUGGCGACGAGUGGCGAACGGGUGAGUAAUGUAUCGGAACGUGCCCAGUUGUGGGGGAUAACUGCUCGAAAGAGCAGCUAAUACCGCAUACGACCUGAGGGUGAAAGCGGGGGAUCGCAAGACCUCGCGCAAUUGGAGCGGCCGAUAUCAGAUUAGGUAGUUGGUGGGGUAAAGGCUCACCAAGCCGACGAUCUGUAGCUGGUCUGAGAGGACGACCAGCCACACUGGGACUGAGACACGGCCCAGACUCCUACGGGAGGCAGCAGUGGGGAAUUUUGGACAAUGGACGCAAGUUUGAUCCAGCCAUGCCGCGUGCGGGAAGAAGGCCUUCGGGUUGUAAACCGCUUUUGUCUGGGAAGAAAAGGCUCCUUCUAAUAUAGGGGGCUCAUGACGGUACCUGAAGAAUAAGCACCGGCUAACUACGUGCCAGCAGCCGCGGUAA
rnacentral:rRNA from 1 species